rnacentral:rRNA from 1 species
GUUAGGAAUAUUGGACAAUGGGCGCAAGCCUGAUCCAGCCAUGCCGCGUGAACGAUGAAGGCCUUCGGGUUGUAAAGUUCUUUAGCCGAUGAUUAUAAUGACUGUAGUCGGAAAAUAAGCCCCGGCUAACUUCGUGCCAGCAGCCGCGGUAAUACGAAGGGGGCGAGCGUUAUUCGGAAUCACUGGGCGUAAAGCGUGCGUAGGCGGUCUCGUACGUUAGGAGUGAAAGCCCAGGGCUCAACCUUGGAAUUGCUCUUAAAACUGCAAGGCUAGAAUCUCGGAGAGGAUAGCGGAAUUUCCAGUGUAGCAGUGAAAUGCGUAGAUAUUGGAAGGAACACCAGUGGCGUAAGCGGCUAUCUGGACGAGUAUUGACGCUGAGGCACGAAAGCGUGGGGAUCAAACAGGAUUAGAAACCCGUGUAGUCC